GACUCAGACUCCGGACCUGGGACGCUGGAUCUCCGCUCCUGGACUGGCUCUUUCUCUCAGCUGCCGGACCCGAAUUUAAAUCAGUACAUCUGUCCUCCCCAGACCAUAAGAGGAUGGUUAACUUCUCUUUCCCGAUUCCGCCCUUCACUGCCUGUCACCACGAGUUAGUUCAGGUGCCAUCCAUUAGCUAGUGACCAGUGACAUCCAUUAUGCAUGGCCAUGAAUAUUUAUCUAGUGCCUUAUACCUGUACCAGAGAGGAUAGGAAAAGAGGAGUUACAAAGAAGCUUUUCCCCCCACACCAGAUGACCAGCUCAGCUGAAGAAACCAAGUGGGCCCAUCUUCAGUUUCUUCCAUGUGACCAGAGAAGAUGGCCACUUGCAACCACAGCGCCACACCAUCCUAGUUUGAGAGCCAGUAGAAAGAAAGCAACAUUUUUCUCUAUAGGUGUGUGUCAUCCCAGGCAAGACUCUCCUUGGUCCUGUUUGCAAAAUAGGCUGAUGUUUAUACACGGUGUGCCCAGGGGAAUGGAGUACUGGUACUGACCAUUACUACAGCAUAACUGAUAUCCCAUCAGAAGCGGAUAGAGUGCAGGAAGUAUUUUCCAAGGAAUCAGAGGACAGGAGGAGGCAGAAUGUCAGCUGUGUCCUAAUGUGAACUGGGCCUCAUAUAUCAUAUAUUGCCCAAAACACUGAGAAGAUAACCAUAGGAGAGGGGCCGUGAGUCCAUAUUUGCUGCAUGAAAGAUGGUGGUGUUGGCCAUGACCCCGGAACUGCUAUGCAAGCAGCCAGCCUCGUAAUUUCUACUUGGUUAGAAGGUGUUACCAGGGAAGAUUCUACCUAACAUGACUCAGUGAGAGGUGAACAUAUCAGUUUGCCCAUAAGAGGAUCAUAUAGUCAAAACUGUGUUUUUUCCAGUAGUCAUGUUUGGAUGUGAGAGUUGUACCAUAAAGAAAGCUGAGCACCAGAGAAUUGAUGCUUUUGAACUGUGGUGUUG